UACGUAGGGUGCAAGCGUUGUCCGGAAUUUAUUGGGCGUAAAGAGCUCGUAGGCGGUUUGUCGCGUCGAAUGUGAAAACCCCGGGGGCUCAACCCCCGGGCCGCAUUCGAUACGGGCAGACUAGAGUUCGGUAGGGGAGUCUGGAAUUCCUGGUGUAGCGGUGAAAUGCGCAGAUAUCAAGGAGGAACACCGGUGGCGAAAGGCGGGACUCUGGGCCGAUACUGACGUGAGGAGCGAAAGCGUGGGGAGCAAACAGG
rnacentral:rRNA from 1 species